GACGAACGCUGGCGGCGUGCUUAACACAUGCAAGUCGAACGGAAAGGCCCUGCUUGCAGGGUACUCGAGUGGCGAACGGGUGAGUAACACGUGGGUGAUCUGCCCUGCACUUCGGGAUAAGCCUGGGAAACUGGGUCUAAUACCGGAUAGGAGCCAUUUUGAGUGUGAUGGUUGGAAAGUUUUUUCGGUGUAGGAUGAGCGCGCGGCCUAUCAGCUUGUUGGUGGGGUAAUGGCCUACCAAGGCGGCGACGGGUAGCCGGCCUGGGAGGGGGGACGGCCACCUUGGGACUGGGAUUCGGCCCAGACCUCUACGGGAGGCAGCCGGGGGGAAUUUUGCACAAUGGGCGCGAGCCUGAUGCAGCGACGCCGCGUGGGGGAUGACGGCCUUCGGGUUGUAAACUCCUUUCGCUAGGGACGAAGCUUUUUGUGACGGUACCUAGAUAAGAAGCACCGGCUAACUACGUG
rnacentral:rRNA from 1 species